GGGUGGAUAGUGUAUCGGAAACACGGAUAAUCUAUUGUCAGAAAUGGGUUCGACUCCCAUUCUACCCGA
rnacentral:tRNA from 1 species